CCUACGGGAGGCAGCAGUGGGGGAUAUUGGACAAUGGGGGGAACCCUGAUCCAGCGACGCCGCGUGAGUGAAGAAGUAUCUCGGUAUGUAAAGCUCUAUCAGCAGGGAAGAAGAAAUGACGGUACCUGAGUAAGAAGCCCCGGCUAACUACGUGCCAGCAGCCGCGUUAAUACGUAGGGGGCAAGCGUUAUCCGGAAUUACUGGGUGUAAAGGGAGCGUAGACGGUGAUGUAAGUCUGGAGUGAAAGGCGGGGGCCCAACCCCCGGACUGCUCUGGAAACUAUGUGACUGGAGUGCAGGAGAGGUGAGCGGAAUUCCUAGUGUAGCGGUGAAAUGCGUAGAGAUCAUACAGAACACCGAUUGCGAAGGCAGCGUACCAAACUAUAUCUGACGUUGAGGCACGAAAGCGUGGGGAGCAAACAGGAUUAGAUACCCCAGUAGUC
rnacentral:rRNA from 1 species